AUGAGAGGCAUCGUUGUCAGGGCUUAUCGUGCAUGAUCUAAGAGAACUUAAUGUGUAGUUGUUAAUUAACUGCCUUAAAGAGAUUUGUUCUUUAUCAGUCAUCACUGUUACUGAACACUAUUGUAGCUGUUAAGUAAGAUGUUUGUAUGUAGAAACAGUUCCGCAUUCGGGGAGGCAAUAUCGCCACCUUCACAAGCACAGAAGUUCAUCACACCCGCCCGGCACCGCCCUCAUUAAAGUGCUUCGGCCGAGACUUCCUUUUAUCAGAAUCCAAACAAAUCUCUGCCAAGCCCACGUAUGACCGCCACGCCACCUGACACCCGCGCCCGCUGCUGCCCGGUGAUCCACGCCCUCUUACGACCAUGGGGGAUAUACAGACCCAGAGAUUGUGAAGCUUACAGACAAAAUACUGAGGGAGGGGCUGCUCAAGUGUUUGUCUUAACAGCUCAUCUCUGGCCGUGCGUUUGAUGGUCCAUUCGACCUCCCGCGAAGCUCAGCCCCACAAGGCGUCAUUACUUGGCGGGCCGUGAGUCAGCUGCAGUUACGUUUCGUCUGUUGUGAGUCACUGUUCACUUCCUGGUGCUUGGAGGUUACGGCGUAAAAUUUCCCCGGUGUUGGGUUAGGCCAGGGACUUGUGACCAAAGCUUUGUUCCUUGGAGUGUAUGCCUCUGCAGGUGCACGUGUUUAUUAUGAAGGAGGGUGUCUUUAUGUGGGUGCUGUGAGUGCACUGUUGAAUGGGCGGAUGCUUUGCCGGAUUAGAAAAGUGGCGAAGUACAAUGUGCUAUUUGUGUCGCUACGCAGAACCACUGUGGCCAAUACGCAAGUCUUUGAAAAACACGCUGCUGCAUUUUGGAGGUCGUCUAGUUACCGCUUGUCGUGAGGUGCCUUGUUUUGAUUCGUGGAGACAUGGAUGUAUCGAGGAAGUUUAUGAGAAAGACCUAUUGUUUUUCAUAUCUUGUUGUCGACACUUAAUGACCUCAACGGAGUGCGCCAUUAGGGCUGUGGACGCGCAGCACCAUAAGGUACUUAGGGUCCCGGCGUGAGGUGUCGUCGCUUGAGGAGUGGACGCAGGUCGCCCCUCAACACUCGGCGGUUUCCUGCGGUGAGAGAUGUUGAGGAAAUGAUUACGGUGACGGUGAUGACGAUGACGAGAGCGUGCAUGGUGAUGAUGAUGAUGAUGCCGGUGCUCAAGUGGCAUUAGUGGUGAUAAUGAUGGUGUUGGGAGAGCGCGGCGGGAGUGGUGAUGAUUGGAGCAGAACCGCUCUGUCCCUCCUCCUCACCUCCCUGCCCCUCGCGCCCCACCAGGCGGCCACCACUCGCUGCCGCUCCACGAUAGCUGGACUAAUAUUUACCCUCCAAUUUUAUGCCGCACCAACAUAUUCAUUAUUCACGCUACACACACACACACAGGCGAGCCAAUUGCCCUCUGCCAAACAUUGAUGUCGAAGUCCUCUCAGUUUCCAUAUUUUUGGUACCUAGUUAUCGCUUGUCAUCGACGCCUUUGUGUUAAAAAUGCAUCAGCGGCUCGGCACUCGUAACACAGCACGAGAAGACGGGGCACAGGCACUGCACUUAACACUCUUGUGCCACCACCGCUAAGCUUGGCGAGUAGUAUAGAAGAAUAUGAUAUGAGAUAAUAUUGGAAGUUUUGCCGUAAACAUGAAGUGCAAUAAUGUUUGAAGUGGACCCCAGCUGUACUGUACUUUUACUAUAAAAUGUGGUGAUGUUGAAAGUUGUCCUGAGUUGUGUCCUAAAUACUCGUACUUUGUCCUCCCUCCUCUCCUCUCCCUCUCCCUGGCUCCCUCGCGCCUCGUCCCCUCCCUGCUCGUCCACGUCUAUCACCGCUAUUCCAAGGCAGGAGGCUCCACAAAUCAAAGCUGGGAGGGGCUGUUGGGCGCCGUGGCCCGCCGCCCAGCCACACAUAAUACAUGUCAACAAUAUUGGUCGCUCGUAAACUGCUUCUUAAUCAGCGUGCUUCGAGCGAGCUUCGGACAACAACCGCCUAUGUCCAUCCCACGCUCAAGGCCUCGGUGUUGCCGCUCCUGGCGCUGCACUGACGUCGGGGUGACAAGGAGACUGUGGCGAGCGUCUUCACUCAAACUAAAGAAAAAUGCACCAUCCCGCUCACUUCCUCCAGUCCACAGACGCUACACACACUUGACGGACACGCCACCAGCUUCCCUUAUGAACAAGUUAUCUUUUGUAAUAGAAAAAAAGAAACCACAAUUUCCUCAAUCUAAUGGUCGGGACGUGCGUGGGUCAAAUGCCAAAAAUUCCAAGCGCCUCCUUACACCCUCGCCUCCUCCUCCGCCGCCGCCGCCGUCGCCGCCUCGGCCGUGUUAAUGCAAAUGUGACCAGCGAUUAAACUGACCAUUCAGGAGAAAACUCUUUGACGAGGAGAGUCCGGAGCGGCCCGUCCUCUGUCCUGGCGUGUGUGUGGAGUGCGGCGGCGGUGGCGGGGACGGCGCUGUGGGGAUGGGAGUGACAGUGGAAGUACAUUCAUAGUAAAGAAGUAUGUGUGAUGAUCUUUAUAUAGCCUUGAUGGUGACUGCGUGGACCUUAUGACGGCGGCGAUGGUGAGGAUGACCCGUUGUAAUGUAGUGAGGAAGGGGAGAACUGCGUGGUGGUGAUUUGGUGGUGAUGGUGAUAUUAUUGGUCGUGCUGGUGGAAGUGUUGGUGGUGAUGGCAGUGUGGCGGUAUUGCUGUGCUACACAACCUCGCCCUUUCAGUGUUAUGACUUUCCAUUGUUAACAUUCAGAACACCGUAAAAAUUGUUUGAAUGGAUGUUCAGAGAGAGAGAGAGAGAGAGAGAGAGAGAGAGAGAGA